AGGAUAUAUCAAAGAGACCUUCUAGGGCUGUGAAGCCAGGAUCUCCUAAUGCUAUGACCAAAGAUUGAAGUUUUGCAUAGGAUCCCAUAGUCACUCAGCAGUGCUGUUUUCCUAAGGAACUGUAAGA
ensembl:snoRNA